CUCUCCGCUUUGUUUUCUUUAUUAUUAUAUUUCUAUUCUAGAAUUUUAUAUUCCAUUUAAAUUCUUCACUUUCACGCUAUAAAUCCUCUCUCCGUUUCUCUCCCUUUCCCCUUCCUCUCUCUCUUUUCUCUCUGCCACAGAUUCCUUCGCUGAUACCGGUAAGCUUUCCCUCUUCCGAUUUCCACAAAAACGUUGUCGUUUUCUUCUCUGGUCUUUUUUUUUUUGCUCUGAAUUUCAUGCUCUGUGGAAACUCGAGACCUGGAAAACGAUGUUGUUUGACUGGUUUUUUUUGCGAGUUUCGAUAAUCGUAUUUAGAAGAAGACGAAAAGAUGUCGGUGCCAUGAUGUUAUCUCGUUUCUCUUGAGUUGAAACUCGAGUCAGUACUGAGUUUGUCUGAGCUCAAAUUUUUCGCUGCUUAAUUUUGAGAUCUUAAUGAUGUAUUUUGUUGUUGUUGUUCUGAAUCAAAACGAAAAUGAUCCGAGUUGAAGCGAGUCAUUAUUGCGAUUUUGCUUUGAGAAUUUUAAAACAUAUUCUGCUCUUUUUUUUCUACUUUGAUUUCAAAAUUUCGUCUCCUCGAACUCGAAUCAUCUCUUAUUUUGAAUCCAAACAGAGUUGUUUCGAGUCUGAUCCGAGUCAAAGCGCGUCACAACCCGAUUUAGUUUCGACUUCACCUUCUUCUUUUUUUAAAAUUUAUAUCUUCAUAUUUAUUCUAAAUUCGGAUAUUUUGCAAAAUGAAAAAAAAAAACUAAUCAUUUCAUUUGGAUCAUAUUGCUGAUUAGUUUGAUAAUUACUAUGCGCAGAUUAAGGUUUGGUGGCUAAGUGAGGAAGGAAAAUGAACACGCAACUUUUGGAGAUUGAGCCAAAGGAACUUAAAUUCGUAUGUGAGUACAUAAUUACUUGAUUGCCCCUGCUCUUUUUGCUGCAUAAAGUAUUUUUAUAAUAAAUUAGAUAAAGUAACUUUUCAUUCUUUAAUCUUUUCUAUUAUAAGAAAAUAUUCUCUGUUAUAUAGAAUUAUUUUCUUUGUUUGGUCACUAAAUACGCGGAUGGAACAAGGAGGAGUUGUUUAAACCUGUUUGUUUUAACGCUUCUUUUUCUGAAAAAUAAAAUAUAAAAUAUGGUAGUAAGCAAAAUUCGUGCUUAACUGACUUAUUUCUUUGAAUCUAGCAUAUUAGAUCUGAAUAUUAAUGAUUAUAAUAUUUUUGCGCCCUCAUUCUGCGACCUUAUUGUGAAAAAGAUGCAAAAAAGAAUUAAGGCUUCUUUUCUUUUUUGUAGCAGUUAUGUAUAUUUUUGUGGGUUUGUGGAAAAAACCGGAGGGGUUAAUAUAUUCAUAAUUUUUUAUCUCCGAUAUUUAUUUAUUUCUGAUUUAAAUUUAUUUUUUGUUUGGUAGUUAUAUUGAAGAAGCAAAGCUCCUGCUCGAUUACGCUUACAAAUAAAACUAACCAGUAUGUUGCUUUCAAGGUUUGAACUCUUAUCCUUUAAAAAAAAAAUUGAAAUUUGUAAGGUUUAUUUCGUGGGAUAGAAUAUUUUAGAAUGCUGGAUUCCAAUGUAAUUGAAGCAAUGAUAUCUGUGCAGGUUAAAACUACAUCUCCGAAGAAAUACUGCGUACGGCCUAAUGUUGGCAUUAUUAUGCCAAAAUCAGCUUGUGAUUUUACAGGUAAGGAGUUUCUGUACUUUAAUUUAUUUUAUGAUUCAUGCUACGUUCACGUAACAAAUGAAUGUGAAAGCUUAAGCGGCUUUUAACCUAAUAAUGGCUCACGACUAAUGAUGUAAGUAUAUUAAGAUCAAGUUAUCAUUACAAGUUAUGGGGUCACUUGGCUGAGGGACCCUAGAUGUUUUUAAUUAUUUUGCCAUCUGAGAAAGGCAAGAUUGGGAUUUGAUAAGGGUUUACUUUUUCAGCUUUUCAUGUGCUUUAAAUUCCCGGGCAUUUCCUCUGUAUUAGCCAGUUGCUUUUCAGUUUGAUAAUUCAUGAUUAAUUUGCUGAGAUUGCAAAUCCUAUGAGGCAACAAAAAGUAAAAAAAAUUACACACUUUUGACAAAUGAUAAUCUGAUAAUCUUCACCUUUAGGACAAUCUGCCAUUUGAUGUCCCACUAGUUGGACAAUAAAAGCUAGAGCUGCUACUUACAUAUAAAAUACAGUCCUGAAUUUCUCAUAUGAUGUUCUUUAUCAAAUUUCUACCCUGUCCUAUACUAUAUAUAUUCUAACCAUUGUUCUUUUUUUCUUUUAGUUACCAUGCAAGCUCAGCGGGAAGCCCCUCCUGAUAUGAUAUGUAGAGAUAAGUUCUUAAUCCAAAGCACAGUUGUCCCAGUAGGAACAACUGAUGAAGACAUUACAUCUGCCACAGUAAGUGAUUUUCUGCCCUGCUUGUGCUUUAUUUGAUAAUAUUAAUUAGUUAGUGACUUUCGCUCAUUGUGUGCUUGACAGUUUGUCAAGGACAGUGGAAAAUAUAUUGAAGAGAACAAGCUUAAGGUUGCCCUUGUCAGCCCUCCAGAUUCGCCAGUGCUAUCACCAAUUAAUGGGACAAUGAAUCAGGGAAUGGAUUAUGAUAGAGUUGAGACUUUUGCAACACUUCCAACGGUUAGAUCAACUUCAUCUAUUUUUGUAGCCCUUAAAAUUCAAUCUACUUCAACUCACUUAUAUAAUUAGUAUUCUUUAUAAUCUGAAAGGAAUUUUUUGUUUGAAUAUGAGAUUUAAAAACAAACUUCCAAGUAUAUUAAUGAAGCUUAUACAUUUAAGAAAAUUACAGUGUUCUCUUCUCUGUGUCAGGUUUUGACGAUUGAGGAAUCAAAGAUGAGAAAUACUGAGGAUUUAAAGCCAACAAAGGAUGUAGAGUGGAAUUCAAGGAAAGAUACGUUAUAUGAGGAGAAAUUAAAACCAAAGAAGGGUGCAGAGCUGAAGCCCAUGAAUGAUAUUUUUGGUGACAAUUUAAAUAUAAUAAAGGACACUGAACCGAAGCCAAAGAAGGAUGCAGAGCUGAAGCCCAUGAAUGAUAUUUUUGGUGACAAUUUAAAUAUAAUAAAAGACACUGAACUGAAGCCAAAGAAUAAUUCUUUCAAUAGCAAGGAGUUAAAGCCGGUGAAAGAUGAGGAAUCAAAGCCAAUGGAGGAUAUUCUUGAUACCGAGGAAU
rnacentral:lncRNA from 1 species